GGUUGGAUGUCAUGGUCUGGCAAUGCAUGAGCCAUGAAAAAAUCCCAGUUGUACUGAGAGACUAAAAGUUUUGCUGUUAGGAAUAAUUGCUGUGACUAUAGAUUUGGGAGGAUGUCAUGAUGGUGGUAGAGAAACAGCACAGAGGGAGAGCUGUGUCUGUGUGCCUUGGCCGAUGAGACAUGAAUAAGGCAAUCAAGUUUUGCCCAAUACUUGCAUUUAAUGAUGUGAGGAAUAAAUUGGCUGCUGCCCAGAUUUUCAGCCUCUUGGAGGCUGGUCCCAGUAUUUGCAGGACCUGCUGGCUGAGGAAAUGAUGAUUGUGGAACUGGACUACAAACCAACACUUAAGAAACAUGAUCAUGAUUUGUCCCUCGUCUGGAGUUCAGCCAUUCCUUUAACAGGAGGAAUAUCUGUGCCAGUAUAGUCACAAUUCCACGAUUGUGUUUAUACAGUGUGCUGAGGAUUGUACAACAAGACGGCUAUCUUGGUGUAAAAACUGAAGGAACACAAAACGGAUACCAUGUAGAAUCAAGCAGGUUUUUCUCUACCUCCUGUUUCAGUGUGAAGGACACAUUAGCAAAGAAACCAUAUAAAAAGUAAUUUCAAGUAAAAACCUUUAUGGAAUGUGAAAAAUUAAAGCUGCAUUCAGCUCCACCAUUAAGAAAAGAAAUUGCCUACAGGCAUCCACUAUGUGAAAUCCAUUGCCCCUGAAAGGCUCCAGAGUUUAUGCCUCACUCACAAAUGCAAUUUCACAGCACAAAGUGAAAUGCUUAAACAAAGUGAGGGAGGAUCUUUUCCAAGUUAAAGGCGCCUGAUGGUGCCAGUUUUCUACGUGUGAACUGUAAGACUGUGUGAGUUUAUAGAUCUGCACCAAGAGGCUUUCUUGGGCCAUUUCUGCUUGUGGAUAUUAUAUGCCGCAAAAGCAGGGCUUUCCUCUGAACACGGUGGCAUCUUUAUUUUGUUGUGUUACAGUAAGAGCUGGAGGCACUUGCUUGCUCAUUUUCUGUCUGAUUUAGGCCCCGUCCUGUAAUUUGGUGCAUGUGUGUGGACGCCAUGCCUGCACGGAACAUUGUGCCACUGGUGCAUUGUAAUCUGCAGAACUGGGUCUUUACAUUGUUGAGGCCAGGAUAUGUAUCCCCCAUUUCAUGUUGUACAGGCUGAACAAAUAAUGGGAGAGGAACACUACAACAUACCAAUGUUAACUUGGAUGCAAAAUGGACACAAGGAUAAAGCUAGGAGGCAUUGUUCUGCUGUGCUAUAAUUCAAAAGUGGCUGACUAUAGCAUUCAUCAUUUGUCCCCUGGGCCCAGUUUUGAUGGUGAUUCCCUCAAGUGUAAAUCAUCUGCAAAUUCAGAACAUGUGUUCCACCAGUCUCCAUGCAGCUCCCAACCCACACAUUGCAAAACCUGUUCAGCAAGCAAACUGCAGCAAGCCACUGCCCGUGGGGGCUUGUAAUUCUCUUGUGGGGAGUGAGGUUGCCCUACAAGACUAGUUUUCAUGGGAUACUCUGCCUCUUCCAACAUAAGGUAUCCUGAGUGACUCAAGCUGUCCUAACCAGUUCUAAAACCAUAAUAUUGUAAUAAAUCUGUGGUCACCUAAGACUUCAUGGCUUCUAUUACUGUGCUGCAUACCAUGACUACACGAAACUUGCUAUAGCAUUAAGGACGAGUCUCAGAUCCUCCAACUCCCAAGAAGCAUAGGCCCGUGGCACUUGAUGUAGAGGGAGAAUCUCCAUUAGUUUUUUGGAAGCCUAUAAUCUGAUUUACAAUUGAGCAGUCCUGAUUCCACCCAGUAGGGGACAGCGAUGACACAUGCACACUAACCAGAUCAUUACAAUAUUGAAGAAUCCCCUUCUAGUUGCCAGAUUC